rnacentral:lncRNA from 11 species
UUGGGGACCCCUGGAUUAGAUCAUGUGGUCUAGGUUAUUCAAAAGCACUUGUCUGGCUUGGAAGCCUCCAGGCUUGUCCUCCUUCAUAGGGUAUGAGCCGGUUCCCAGACCCUGCUGUGGCCCAGGAACUUCUCAAAGCCACGGCGGGGCUAGCCGAAGCUUUCGCCAACCUGUUGCAAGAAAAGGAGCAACUGCAAGCAUCCCUUGAGACAUUAGUGACCCAGCUCAGGGCUGUGAAUCAGCGGCUGCAGAAGGAGAUCCAAGCGCCCCAGGAGGUGGCCCGGCUCAGGGCUGAGAACCAGCAGCUUCAGCAAGAGCUCCAGGAGGCCAGGAGAAGACAGAGGACGGGAAACCUAAUGUUUAUGUUUCCGUGGUCUAAAAGAGUUUUCCCUAUCCAGGUCCUUGUCACUGGGAAGACCGGAGGUUGUGAAAACCAGUUCUUAAAGAAGGUCUCUGACCACCUUUCCGAUCAUUUUAUGUACCUCAAGCUGGAAAUGUACCAAGAGGGCUCCAGCCACUUCUUGGUGGUCUUCUGCCCGGUGGCAACCUCAGUGGGCAGCGACAUGGCCAACGCUCUCGAGGGUCUUGGCGGUGAGCCCAAGGCGGUCUUGCUGAUGCUGCACCACAAACUGAAGGAGAGCACCUCCCCCGUGGACACCAGGAAGCAGGCGCAUCACCCGGCCGUGGUGCGCACCCUCCACGCUCGCUACACCCUCCAAGAAGGCUUCUACGCCUGCCCGAUGAAUGAGGAGGCCGUGGCCAUUGUGGCCGAAGUCCUGCAAGACCGCUGCAAAGGGGGGGAGGGGGACCCCGCAAUCCCUGGCGCUCCGUCCAAGUCUCAGAAUCUGUUCUGAUUUCAGGAUGCCACUAGCUGCCAGGCAUCACACUAUUGGGCAGAAAAAGAUAUAAAGGAUAAUGAUGUUGGUGACUAUUAUAUUAAUUACUAGCUUUGCCCGGCCACGUGUUGCUGUGGCUUAUGGGAAUCCUUUGUCGGCCAGGUGGAAUAGCAGUGAAUAGCCUUGCAGUCUCAAAGCCUAGCUGUUUUCUGGAGUAGCUGGAGCUGUUUGUUGUAUGAACGUAGAGGCAUGGAUGAGGGGUUGUGCUGCCAAGUUUAGUGUUUCUGGGAUGUGUAAUUUUAUUGUUUUGUCCUAGGCUGAAAUUUCAUUACCCUUUUAUAUAUAUAGAUACUAAAAUUAUUAUUUUACGCUGGUCUCUCUGUUCCCACAGAUUCAACCAUCUAUGGCUUGGAAUAUUUCCAGUAAAAACAAAACAAAACAACGACAACAAUAAUAAUAAUUGUUAGGGUUAGAGUGUGUAGCGGAACCAGCAGUGUCCAGUUAACACCAUGUGCAAAGAAAACCACACCAGGCAGAGGAAUUAAAAGAACAAAGGAACUUUACUUGUUGAGUUGAAAUUAAGUAAACAGUUCAGCAAUCGUACAAUGUCCUUGUAGUUGCAUAGGAUCAAUAACUAAUCAAUCAGCAUUCAAUAUAUCCAGCAUAGCAUAUUCAAACUGCUACUUGACCGUAGCCAGAGAGCUUGCCUUUUCUGUGCUCUCCCUUGAAGCCCAGAUUUCCAACUGACAAUCUCAGCCAUCUGCCAGCAAACCGAUACAUUGUUUGAGGCGUGGCCUGCCUCUGCAAAUACUGAGCUCCUUUUUUUUGCAGAGAUCUUUUCCGAGCAACUUUGCAAGGAUUUCUUUACACACACACACACAUAUAGCAAUUUGGUGUAAUAAUAAUAACUUUAUUUUUAUAUCCCGCCACCAUCUCCCCAAAGGGACUCGAGGCGGCUUACAUGAGGCAAGGCCCGACAACACAAUGAAAAUAAAAAUACUUAAAAAGCAAUUCACAAUAUAAAAAUAGGAUAAAAACAGCAAUAUUGUAACAAUAAAUAAUAAUAUCAAUUGGCAACCAGACAGAGUUUCUGUCAUCUUCAUGGGUGGGUAGACUAAAAGCAGCAGUACAGUUAUCAAUAGAUUGAUAACUAAAGUGCAUUAUUCACGGUCAUCCUAUCCUUUCAGUUAUUUAUUUAUUAUUUACUUAUUUGCAACAUUUAUACCCUGCCCUUCUCACCCUGAAGGGGGCUCAAGGUGGCUUACAAGUUAUAUCUAGAUACAAUAUAUUAUAUUAUUACCGUGUUUCCCCGAAAAUAAGACAGUGUCUUAUAUUAAUUUUUGCUCCCAAAGAUGCGCUAGGUCUUAUUUUCAGGGGAUGUCUUAUUUUUCCAUGAAGAAGAAUUCACAUUUAUUGUUGAACAAAAAAAAUGAACAUUUAUUAUAUACUGUACAGUAGUUGUCAUCACAAACCAGCAUAACCAGAC